GAGGGCAUAGCUCAGUGGUAGAGUGUGUGCUUUGCAUGCCUGAGGUCUUGGGUUCAAUCCUCAGUACCUCCA
rnacentral:tRNA from 1 species